GGGGGAUAACUACUGGAAACGGUAGCUAAUACCGCAUAACGUCGCAAGACCAAAGAGGGGGACCUUCGGGCCUCUUGCCAUCGGAUGUGCCCAGAUGGGAUUAGCUUGUUGGUGGGGUAACGGCUCACCAAGGCGACGAUCCCUAGCUGGUCUGAGAGGAUGACCAGCCACACUGGAACUGAGACACGGUCCAGACUCCUACGGGAGGCAGCAGUGGGGAAUAUUGCACAAUGGGCGCAAGCCUGAUGCAGCCAUGCCGCGUGUAUGAAGAAGGCCUUCGGGUUGUAAAGUACUUUCAGCGGGGAGGAAGGGAGUAAAGUUAAUACCUUUGCUCAUUGACGUUACCCGCAGAAGAAGCACCGGCUAACUCCGUGCCAGCAGCCGCGGUAAUACGGAGGGUGCAAGCGUUAAUCGGAAUUACUGGGCGUAAAGCGCACGCAGGCGGUUUGUUAAGUCAGAUGUGAAAUCCCCGGGCUCAACCUGGGAACUGCAUCUGAUACUGGCAAGCUUGAGUCUCGUAGAGGGGGGUAGAAUUCCAGGUGUAGCGGUGAAAUGCGUAGAGAUCUGGAGGAAUACCGGUGGCGAAGGCGGCCCCCUGGACGAAGACUGACGCUCAGGUGCGAAAGCGUGGGGAGCAAACAGGAUUAGAUACC
rnacentral:rRNA from 1 species